rnacentral:lncRNA from 1 species
GUUGCUCUAUUUAUCAAAUUGUAUGAACUUUUAAAGAGUAAUACUAUUUAAAUUUUGAUGUUUCUACUUGUUCAUGUAUAUCUCUCCUGUUUGCUGUUGGCCUGGUCAUGGAGUUUAUGUUGUCUCUCUGUAUAAAAAUAUUAUGGAGUCAAACCAUUUUUUCUAUUGGCUCUUUUCAUUUCAUUUAUGUUAAGCCUCCUUCCCUUUACAGUAGUCAGAAGAUUUUUCAGGAUUAUGAAGAUGAUGGAGAAAAUGGUAUCACUAAGGAAUAUCUACAACAGUGAACCUGGGACAUGAACUAGCAUAUGGGAUCCUAGUUCCCCAACCAGGGAUGGAACCCAACCACCUGCAUUGGAAGCACAGUUUCUUAACCACUGGAUUGCCAGGGAAGUCGUUAUAUUAUUUUCUUAUGUACUCUUGGUUGCUUCAAAGGCUGUCUACUUUUUUACCCACUUGUUUUUGAUUCUUUCAUCAGUGCUGUGAAAUUUUAGCCUGAAACAUUUUUAAUCUCUGUUAGGUACAACAAGUGUUCCUUCUUUCUCUUCUUUUGCCUAAUUUUCUUAGCUCCUGAAAACCACAGGGAUUCUGUCUCCUAAGACAUACUAUCAGUCAUCCCACAACCUCCCUGACUGGGAUUUCCUGGAAAUUAUAAUCUCAGAAGGAUGUAUAAAGGUGGAGCAAGGGGAGGAUAUUGGCCUAGCCACUGCAAAAUUAGCAUCAAGAUGGAAGAGGAGAGCUACCUGGUGCCUUGGCGACCUCUCAAACCAACUGUCACUCUAUGAAGGGAUUACAGCACAACUUUCUGUUUUAUCUAGGUCCACCGCCUGCGUUAUCUCAGAAGGCGAAAGACAGGCCCCAUCACCAGCUUUUAAAAAAAUCUAACUACUCAACCCCCUAGUUGGGGUAACUUCUUCCCAGACACUACCUAUCACGUGUUGUUCAUUAGUGGUCUUCAUAGUCACUUGAUUACAAAGUUGAGGAGAGUGAUGGACUCCGAGAGGACAGUGAGGAUGAGCACACUUGAACUUGGAGAUGGCCUUACAACUUCUGAAUGGGAGGGACACUCAGAGACGGUUACAGGACCAGUACCAGCACUUGUCAUCACCAAUCAGGCCCAGCAAGGAUAUUUCCAGAUUGUCAAUCUUCACAUUUUUCUGGAUGACUUUGUUCUUUCCUGUGUGCAGUCUGACCAAGCCUGCUUUUCUAGAAUAACUUUCAGUCCCCAUGGUCUCAUGAGCUUCGGUGCCACAAAGCUCCAUGGCGUUUUGGCUGCAAAGUACAAGAACAGCAUUUUGAAGGUCACAUACCACCCAGCGGAACUAGGGCUAUCAGCAUACUCAGACAUGUCAAUGGAAGGAAACAAACCAGGAUGCUAA